CCAUAGUCCGGCACUUCGGCUGAAACCUGAGCCUGGUGUCCCCUCUCUCCCUCCUUGGUUAUCUACUCCACAGCUUUGAGAGAGCCAACAGGAUAUUUAAUACCAAGCCAUCUCCGGAAAGCAAAUGACUGCUGCCAAGCGCAGGGAGGGGGUCAGAGCUGCAGGUACCACCUCAUGAACAGCAGAGGAAAAGCAGCCCUACAGAUAUGCCCAGGAGCCUGGCAACUCACAGGUAACUCCUGCCACAGAGGAGAGGGUUGGGGGUUCCCUCCUGACUUUCUGGAUGCUGGGGCCCAGGCCUUGGAAAACAUGUCAAGGCUGGAAUGUGUCAGAGGUGCUGUCCUUUUGCUCCCCAUGCUCAGCAUGUACCUUCCAGAGAUGCACAGAGAGAUACAGGGCAUCAGCAAUCUGACCACACAUUCCACCAGAGAAGAUGGAGUAGCUCCCCUCAAACGGUAAAAGCAGAUCCACAGUCACACUGUCCUUCUGAUGUCAGGCUGCACAAUGGGAAUGCUUGCCUAUUGCUCAGGGCAACUCGCUUCCCAGGAAAUGGAAGCACGGGCUGGGUCACUGCCGUGUCCUGAAUUUCAGCAAAAGGGAGCACUGACAGCAAGAAAUGCAGAGAUCCCAUGAACACAAGUAGAUGUGCACAUGGAGAAGAGACACACACAUAUCCCAGUCAGCACCAUCCCAACUCCUCACCCAGCCACCGACACACGCAUUGCACUGUUUUCACCACCCACGAACAAGCGCACACAAAGCGCAGCACAGCCGUGCUGCAUGUACACGCAGUCACUCACUGUGUGCCCCAGAACAUACAGCAACUGCUUCCAGAUGCAGAAACUGUCCCUGCUGAUUUUCCUUUAUUUGGAGUUUGCAGAGUUUUUUUCCAUUCUCCUUUGCCUUCCUAGUAAUUUUCCAGGAAGGAGAUAUUCUGGAGGAGAAAAUAAGCUGCCUUACUUGCUGCUGUGUACCUCUUGCACUCUUAGGUGGCUGCUAAAUCCUAUACACAGGCAUCAUGCUCUACAGACUUGCAGACAUCCAAGCUGUGAAGUGUCAGGAGUCUGCUGCCAGCAAUUCUGCAAGAGAGAAGCCUCAGAUCUGGACUUCGUUAAGUGCUUCAAGACCUUCUAAAGUCAAAAACAUAGCACAGUACAUCAGACUGUGCUUUUACUCCCCUUUCUUUUUCUUCAGGAAAAUAAAAUCUCCCCUAGUCUGCUGACAAUC